UUAUGUUUAGCUUAUUUAAUUAAUUUGGGUUAAAUCAACUUCAGGGAUUACAGUGUACACCUAGGAUGGCUUGAGGGUGAGUAAAGGUUUGGCUAAUUUUCAUUUCAAAUUAAUCCUUUAAAUGUAGGACAGUUGGGCAUCAUACUAGGCUGUUUUAUGUGGACCGUUGUCUUAAAGACGUUGUUGUGACGUCUCAACUUUGAGUAAAAUGUGCCUUUCUCUGUUCAUUCAUUUUCAUCACUUGUGUAUUGGGGGAUGGGCAUGACUCUGACCUGAAAUGUAAGGACAGUCCUCCUCUAUGGGGACCGCCGUGUUAGGGUUAGGGUUUGAUGAAAAGAUAUGUUGCUUUGGGUAUGUGUCAGACAUUGACCUUUAUAAUGUAAAUUGUAUUACUGUAUAGACAAGAUCCUCAUGUAUACAUGUUUUACGUCUGCUUUGUGCACGACAGCCAUUAAAGUGACAGUAGAUACUUAGACUUUGGUUGAUACUAGUAUUGGUUGUAGUGCCAAUCUGGCAAACAUCCUUGCCUCAGUUUUGUACCUGUCUUUCUCACAAUUACAGGAAUUGUGUGACGAGACAUCAGUGACUGUGACUGAAUGCCGUGUGAAUCCUUCCUCAUCAGUGAACGAGAAAUUACAGGAAUUGUGUGACGAGACAUCAGUGACUGUGACUGAAUGCCGUGUGAAUCCUUCCUCAUCACUGAGUGAGAAAGAAUUGUGUGACGAGACAUCAGUGACUGUGACUGAAUGCCGUGUGAAUCCUUCCUCAUCAGUGAACGAGAAAGUAAGUGAUCGUAUGUUCCUUAAUUGUUUACUUCUCUUUGACACUGAUAAUGUUAAGUGUAGGACAGUUGGGCAUCAUACUAGGCUGUUUUAUGUGGACCGUUGUCUUAAAGACGUUGUUGUGACGUCUCAACUUUGAGUAAAAUGUGCCUUUCUCUGUUCAUUCAUUUUCAUCACUUGUGUAUUGGGGGAUGGGCAUGACUCUGACCUGAAAUGUAAGGACAGUCCUCCCCUAUGGGGACCGCCGUGUUAGGGUUAGGGUUUGAUGAAAAGAUAUGUUGCUUUGGCUAUGUGUCAGCUUUUUUUCUUAUUGUGGAUAAGGUUUAAACCCAAUAUGCACACUUUCUAACAGCAUACAAAAUGGCAUACAAUUGCUCUGAUUUCAGAUGACCUGUAAAGUCACUUCUCUUUGACACUGACACACUUGUGUAUUGGGGGAUGGGCAUGACUCUGUCCUGAAAUGUAAGGACAGUCCUCCCCUAUUAUCGUUCCAAAAACAGCUUGAUUAAAAAAGGAUACUGGUAAAUAACUAUAUAUUUUUUAUUUAUUUGUUUGUUUGCCUAUACUUUAAAGAACGGUCAGGGGUCUGUUCUUUGUAUGGUGCUAACUC